UGUCAACGCUGGAUGUGCCAAACCUCCACCAUCAGGUGGAGAGUUUGAUCCCAGGCGGUGAUGAUUUUAUUUUUGCCUCCUCUGCCUCAGGCAGAGGAACGGAGAGUGGCGGCAAGGGCAGCCGCCGGCGCGAUGACGAGAACCCAGGGGUGGACACACGGGAGAUUGGGUGCUCGCGCGAAGCCUCCUGCAGCACGGUCGCCCACGAGCCCACCCGGAGCUGUCGCCCCCGCUGAAAUGUGCCACCCCGCUGCCCGUGAAAUGCGCCGCCCCGCUGCACUCGAAAGGAAGCUGUCUGGAUAAAGAAAGGAUCGCGGGCUGAAUUCUUACGAACGUAGGGGCAUCUUUGUAAAAAUGAAUCGUUUUUGCAGCUUCACUUAAACGGAGACUGCGGGUUAAUUUAUAAUAAAUCGAGGGACUUUUAUGCAAAA